rnacentral:lncRNA from 1 species
AUCAUGAUUGAAACUCCUGCCUUCUUUCUGUCAGUUGAGGUCCAAUAGGUCUUACUCCAACCUUUGAUUCUGACCUAGCUUCAAACCCAUCAAUAAAUUUGGGGAAUUGUCUUUACUCCACAUACAAGCAUGGGAAGACAUCCCCAAGUGGAAUGAACCGAUAAGAACAAUUUGUUCCAGCAGUCAUGAAGACAGCUGAAGCAGGU